UCACUUGAGUUGUAAUUCAUUGCAGUUAUUUGAUUAUCCUCAAUUGUUUAAUGUGGUAACAAAAUAUUAAAAUUUGAUAAGACUUCAUAAGGAUUUAAAAAAAUCAGAAGCGGACCCAAGUGUUAUACCGUAGGGUUCAAACUUUUGUAAAAAAAAACUAUUUAGGAAAAUGCUAUUAAAACCAUCGGAAAUAUAUUAUUGCCAAAAGUCUAUCAAAAACAGAUUUAAAAAUGGGACAAUGAUCGGAGAAACUCUCGAUGAUUUAUGUGAAGGAAGGUGCCAAUUGUCAAGUUUUCCAAAGAUUUGCGUCAUGAAAAAGGAUUCAAAAUGGUUUACAACAGAUAAUAGACGUCUUUGGGUGUUCAGAGAACUUUAUAGGCUUGGAAAAUGUGGCGAAAUACCCGUGAUUGAGACUGGAAGUAUUCCACCAAAUAAGAUGACAACAAAAAAUGGAGGCUUGUCAGUCUCAGUUCGAGGCAUUGGCGGGCCUGGAGGAAUGUGGUACCUUAAACCAGACGGUGCAGGUUCGAAUCCUGAUGGCACAUAUUCAUGUACUUGGCCAGAACACAGUUUGUUCAGUCUAGGAGCAUUUGGUUUUGAUUUUUAAAAUGACUCCGAUGACAUCGGGCUCGAUUAUUUAUGAGAACGGAUGUUACUUAGGUUAUUUUGCCUUUUGAUAAAAUUUGAAAUACAUGAAAUUAUACAUGUAGUACAGAUGGUUAUUCUACUUAAAGUGCCAUAAAUAUUUAUUAAUAUACAUAUGUACAUAGAUUGAUAAAUAUCAAUUUAUGAAACCUUUUACUAUUUUCACUUUUAUAUGGAAUGAUUUUACAUGCUACAGUUUUAGAAAUUAAUUUUAAUAGACAUUUACCCUAAUUUGAUAAGAUUGUUAACUUAAAGUUUAUUUUUAUUCUCGGACUAUUGUUAUCUUGAUUAUCUUUAGAAAAUUAAUUUAACGAUUAUAUCUAUUUUUGUGAUUUUGUUAUGUUUUUUCUUAUCUCAAGUUCCAGAGUUUAAAAUUAAUGGAUUCUUUGUUACAAAGUGCCUAGCUUUUUGCAAUUUCACGGUAAACUAAACACUGACGUUGGAAUCUGUUACAGCAAGCAAUUAAAUUUAUACUCAGAUUUUUUUUAAAUAUUUGACCUCUGUUUCUAAAACACGUUUAUUAUAUAAAAUAUUAAACUAAAUAAAAUAGGUAAUGUCUUCAGAUACACAGGGCAAAAUCAUUUCAAAUUUGACCAACAUUUUAUGAUAUUUUAAUUUUUAGUAUGUUCUGUUACAUAUUUAUUUGAUGAACAAAAAGACCCUUUACAGAGAGUUAGAUCCCUGUUAACAAUGUAUGUUCUACUAUUAUUAUUAUUAUUAUAAAAUUUUGUAAUUACUCCCCUUUAUAAUGAAGGUAUUCAAACAGUUGACCUUUUCUUUUGAUUUCAGUAUGAUUUCUAGUUUUUGCAUUUUAUAGUUAUUGAGAUAUUUCAACAACCUGGACCUAACGGCAAAUUUUAAAGCAGUGUGUAGCUUCCAAAUGCAUUUAUUUCUUAUCUAUUCUGAUAGUGCAACCAAGAUAGAUAAAGGGAGAUAAUAAGAAAUUUACAAAUAUACAUUUCCAAUGAACUUUGGCUAAAUAUGUAGCUAUCAAUGUAAAUCUUUGACAAAUAUAAUACAAUAGUUUUUAUAUCUACACCAUUUCAUAAGCAAAGUAGGUUUAUUAAAUUCAUACAAUAUGCUAUAACAACACUAUCUUGGUUGGGCAACCAGGAUAGGAAAAUCAAUUUAUAAGAAUACCUACAUGUAUUAAGCUCUUAGUGAACACAAUCAAGUGUAAAUGAUCAUUUGUUACACAAAUCCAUUACUUGAUCAAAAUCUGAUCAACCAUUAAAUGUCAUAAUAGUUUUUUAUAUAUAUUAAUUAAUUCUUUAGUCUUUACGAUAUUUAAAAAACGUCCGUACUGUUUAAAUUCGCGUAUUCACUUUAUUCAAAGUUUAUAGGUAUUUUUUUCUAAAUUUUGGAAUCUUUGGCAGAUAAAUCUCUUGAGUAGUUUUAAAGUAAAGUUAAAGGAAUGUAUAUUUAUGAAAAAAAGCUAUAAAUAGAUUUUCAGAAAACCGAAUUUCAGAAAAUGCAUGUUUGUUAUUUUUUGUGCGCGAUAUCGAUAGAGCUAUUUUUAACAUCGGACUUGUUUUAAAAGUGAGAUAAGUGUAUCAUGUAUCUCAUUUUAACUGUGAUACUAAUACGAGUGCAACUUAAUAUCAGUCAAGUAAAACGUAACACAUUUUGUUUCAGUACACUGUGUUAAACCAUAUGAUGUUAAUUUCAAUAAGGUAUAAUUGUUUGGGUAAUGCAGGAAUAAGGGUGUGUUUUUCCAGUUAUAAUUGAGAUGUUCAUAAAUUGCUAGCUGUGCUGUUAUCCCACAACGAAAACAAGUAUAACUGUAGUCCAAAAUAUUAGACGUGUACAUGCUCAUUUUACCUUCAUCAUUCAUUACUUUAUUAUUUUACAUUUCUAUUUCAAUCUGCAUUGUAACGUCUAAAAGGGCCCUAAUAUGUAGAAUGUAGCAUUUUCUCAAGUGUAAAAUAUACGAUGUACGCAGGUUUAAACAGUUUAGCCUACUGUUAUUUAUCAUAUUCUAGUAAUAUAUCGUUUGAAUUUACCUUUAAAACCCCUUAUAUCCAAUAUAUGUCAAUUGUGUACAGUUUUCAAUACACAUUCCGCCAUUUUUCAAGCAUAUUCAGCAGGUUAUAAUAUAUUUAGAAUCGACUUAGACGAAAAACAAUAUUCCAUGUGAACUAUUUGCCAAGUGAUCUAGAGGGAAAAUAUUUCGUCUAAAAUUGAUUCUCAAAAUAAACUGUAUUUACACAACAUUCGGAAUAGACCGGCAAUGUUGCACACCAUAACACAGAUACACGGCGAUACAUACAGUGGAAAGAAACAACUCGAUAUUUAUACAUGAAAAGUAACUUUUAUUUUGUAAUUAUUCACAUAUGCAGUUGAAAAAAGGAUUAUUUUCGGUGUAAGUAGUGUUCUUUCACUUCGGAUUGGGUUAUGUUGUUCGAAAUUUGAAGAAUAAAGGCGACAUGAAGUGUGUUCGCUUCUCACUACAUGUUAUAAAUGGCGAUCCGAUAAGACCUGACAUAACCGAUAGACGUCAAAAUGUUAAAAUAUGUUAUGUCAGGUCUUAUUUAUAGGACUAGUAUAACUGGUGAAGACUAAGUAUAUAUAAUUAACAAUAGGCAGCUAAAACAAUUUAAGUUUUAGUUAAAACUCAAUGGUUUAUACUUACUAUAAUUCUAAAAUUAAUUUCGUUCAACGUUUAGUGCGAAUUGGUGUAAAAUUGUUGACAAAGGAUACUUUACAUAUUAAAUAGAAAAUGCAAAGACAUUUAUUGGAUAUAAAGUCUGGUUAUUCUGGAAACUGUUGUUAAUUCUAUAAAGAUGAUUGUUUAAUACUUUACAUUCUCGAUUUAGAACAGAGAAAACACGGUUUUACAUAACACAAAAAAUAUUGCUUUUUGUAAUGCUAAUAUUCAUAAUGCUGGUCUGUCUUGUUUUGUUAUGCUCCCCAUCCCCCUCCCCCACGCCCCCCUUCCGCAAGAAUAAAAAACUAAUACCUUUAAGCCAACAAUAUAAAUACUUUUGCAAUCUGUUCUUAGUAUAACAGCAUGACAAGCAGCAACAAAGCCUUGUUCUAAAGAUCAUUCUGGUAUCUUACUGAAAACUAUACAUAUUAUUUCAUCAUAAUGUGCAAAUAUCUGUACGUUUUAUACAUUAAGAUAUGAUUUACAACUGUUAUUUGUUUACAAACUUUCUGUGAUAAACGUCUUUUUUCUACGCUAGUACACGAAACUGUUUCUAUUCUAUGAGUGACUCUUUCUUUCAGAAUGUUGUAAAAUUGUUGAUUGAAAUAGAAGUUCAAAAGAA